CGUACGUAUGCUCGCACGCACACACGCAAAGCGAGUUUGUCCCUCAAGGCGCGUUUGCAGCGCUCAUGUACGAUUAUUCGCUUGAGUGUGCAAAUACGCCUUGAGAGACAAUGUGUAUGUGCGUGCAUACGUAUAUGAUACGUAUCAAGCGGUGCGCGGUAGCAUCGCGACGUCAAGAUAUAAUAACGUUAUAAGGUUAAUGUUCGCGACGUCAAGAUAUAACAUUAUAAGGUUAAUGUUAUAUUUGAAUCUGCUGCAGAAAAUAUAUUUGGUCCUAUCGAGAUAAAGCAAAAUCAAUCAAUCCUUUCAAGAAGGCUGGUAUACUUUUAGCUGGGAUUUCUUCAGCUGGGGUUGCAUACGGUCUUAUACCGCAGAACUUUGCUAAACAGCGUAACAUAUUGGGUUAUAGAGAUUUGGCAGUAACAGACAAUAGAGGAGAGGGACCAUAAAGCACUUAACUUCGGAUGGACAUAAAAACGAUUAAUAACUGUCGAAGUAAAAGAAAUAUUUACUAUUUAUAAUGGGGUAAAGGGAAUCCUUGCUCUUAUGUUAAGUGAUUGAACUGAAAUUGAAUUCAAUGUGUUGAAUCACGUGUAAUAUUAUAAUAGCAUAUUGCAAUGCGAGAUAUAUAUUCAUAAGUUUUAUGAACAUUAUCAGAGAGAAAUCACUGACAUUAUUAUAUUUUUGAUUAUAUAGUUGUGAAGUAAAACUUGUAAAUUCCUACGAUUUUAUCAAAAA